CCAGCUCUCAGAAUAUUUGUUGCUCAACCGACUCAGAAAUUUUUGAUAUACUAUGAAUGCAUGUUCUUCAGGGUCUUGAGUUGAAAGCCCCUAGUUUUUUGUUAACAACCGGUGUAUUAUUUUUUAAGAUAAAUUUUAAGUACCCCUAACAGCACUUUUGCCCAUACACAAGAGCAUAGAACAAUGCUGCGGCUGAGUCGUCAAUUUUUACAGAGACCUCAAUAACGCCACAGACUACUCAAAA